rnacentral:lncRNA from 1 species
ACCAUUGGCCAUUCUCUGACCAUCUCAAGCCAGAGGUGACUUGAUCUGUCACCCAGCUGUGGCCCAUGAGCAUUAUCUAAGGAGGAACAUUUUUGCUUACGUUUCCAGUGCUCUACAUAAGCCCUAGGCCCUGGGAGGCACUGAAAUGCUCAAUGGGAGCUCCAUGUGUGCAGGCUUAUGGACUGGUAUAUGCAUAGGAGCGAAAUUACUGAAUAACUUACGUGAAACAUUUUGACGAACUGUCAUAUUGUUACCCAAAGUGAUUGCACUGUUUUACAAAUCAUAUUGGCAAGAAAUACUACUUUCAUGGCUCUGGCUAUGAACAUCAGCAUAUAGAGAAUGGAUCACUACCAAAGAAGGCACCCGAAUGUGUCUGUCUCAUCCUGGGGAAACUCAUUCAUCUGUAUAUGUACUCAGCAAGUGUUUCCUGGCACCUGCUCUGGGUCACAGUGCUGGGCACUGGAAGCUGAGAGAUGUGGAAGAAGGCUGGACAUUCAAGGUAUGCACCCACACCUGCCUAGGGGACUCGUACCUGCAAACAAACAAAAGAUCACAGUGCAAGCUGACAAAUACUCUGAUAGAGGUGUGGGAAGAAAUGCUCCAGGAGCUCAGUGGAUUGGUGAAGUUUGCUUCAUUCAUUUAAGCAAAUAAAAAUGGGUUCUGGAUACAUUCAGCAAAAGAUGAUUUGGAAGGCAAGAAAGAUCUUGAUCACCAAGCUUAUGUGCUUGAUCUUGUGCUAUCCAGAGGGCUUCUGGCUAAUUCAUUGAACUUAAAGAUGAGAGAUAUAAUUUUCUUUUACAAAAAGACAAGUUUUCCAAAUUUGCUGACCUUUCCAAUGAUGACAGGUAGCUGUUGCUAUUAGAUAUUUUUGAAAAAGUAAACAUCUGUAAUCUGCCCUUUCAAGGUAAAGGCGAUAUUUUUUUAACAAUGAGUGAGAAAGGAACUGUUUUUUGAAACAGGUUUGUGUGCACAAAAGGAAGAACAUUUUAAAAUGGAUGUUUGAAGUGUUUCCACCAUUACAUGAUCCUAUUGCCUAAAAUUUUGUCAGGGUGUCACUUAUAAAAAUUGUUAUAUCUGUGUUCUAUAAAAACUUGGAAACAAAAUUUCCUAAAGUGUUAAAAAAUCUCCUACAUAAAAAAACCUGGAGGACUUUGUACACAUUUGUUCAAAAUGUAGAAAUGCUGCAUCUUCCAAUUCAUUUGCAGAAAUGAACAAUUGAUACGUGGAAUACAGAGAUCUAGUAAGCAAAUGUUCACAUUGUCUGUAUAAUUGGUAGGUGGGAUUGAAAAUGGGUCUAACAUGUACAAAGUGCAGCCAG